rnacentral:rRNA from 1 species
AUUGAACGCUGGCGGCAUGCUUUACACAUGCAAGUCGAACGGUAACAGGCCGCAAGGUGCUGACGAGUGGCGAACGGGUGAGUAAUGCAUCGGAACGUGCCCAGUCGUGGGGGAUAACGCAGCGAAAGCUGUGCUAAUACCGCAUACGAUCUAUGGAUGAAAGCGGGGGACCGUAAGGCCUCGCGCGAUUGGAGCGGCCGAUGUCAGAUUAGGUAGUUGGUGGGGUAAAGGCUCACCAAGCCAACGAUCUGUAGCUGGUCUGAGAGGACGACCAGCCACACUGGGACUGAGACACGGCCCAGACUCCUACGGGAGGCAGCAGUGGGGAAUUUUGGACAAUGGGCGCAAGCCUGAUCCAGCAAUGCCGCGUGCAGGAAGAAGGCCUUCGGGUUGUAAACUGCUUUUGUACGGAACGAAACGGUCCGGGUUAAUACCCUGGGCUAAUGACGGUACCGUAAGAAUAAGCACCGGCUAACUACGUGCCAGCAGCCGCCGUAA